CUGGCGGUGAGGACAAGUUCCUGGCGGUGAGGACAAGGUUCCUGGCGGUGAGGACAAGGUUCCUGGCGGUGAGGACAAGGUUCCUGGCGGUGAGGACCUGGCGGUGGUUCCUGGCGGUGAGGACGAGGUCCCUGGCGGUGAGGACGAGGUUCCUGGCGGUGAGGACAAGGUUCCUGGUGGUGAGGACAAGGUUCCUGGCGGUGAGGACAAGGUUACAGGCGGUGAGGACAAGGUUCCUGGCAGUGAGGACAAGGUUCCUGGCGGUGAGGACAAGGUUACUUGCGGU